UAGAAUUUCUGGAUCAAUUUGGAAACUAAGACUAGAAAAGAUCUGUGUUUCGUCAUCUGGAACCCAGGGAGAGGGUGAGGCACGUGGAGUUCCUUGACCCCUCAUCUUGCUGAAGCAGCAAGCAUGGGAAAAGAUCUGUGUUUCGUCAUCUGGAACCCAGGGAGAGGGUGAGGCACGUGGAGUUCCUUGACCCCUCAUCUUGCUGAAGCAGCAAGCAUGGGUGAGUGCAGAGAAGCCUCACGCACUCUUGGGCUACCAAGAGCUGUGCCAACACUGUUGUGUAAGUUGGCCAGAGAGGAACCCUGUAUACUGGACACUAAGUUUUUUACUUCUU
rnacentral:lncRNA from 1 species